GCAGGCCUACCUAACUUCCGGAUAGACGCCAUAUUGGAAAAAACCGGUCAUAGUCAAAGAGUCAAUGGAAAUACAUGGAAUCCAACAUCCUAGCUGCUUUUGCAAUUUUUCAUACAGACUGUGAAAACAGUUACUAUAGAGUAUAGUGUUCUUUAAAACAUUGUACAUGUUGUAGUGUUGUAGCAAAUUACUUUUCAUCAACUAUAUGUACAAAAAUGAAUGAAGAAGGUUAGGAUGGAAAACUGGUGAAGAUGAAGGUUACAAUUGUGAUCUACAUAUUGAUUAGUUUGAAGCAGAUUUUGUUCUAAAGAGGGAAAUAAAUAAACAGUGUGUUUUAUAAAGAUGUUCAAUUAUUUACACAACAACAAAAAUAAUCAUUGUAUGAGAGAUAAAUGGAUAUAAGUGUAAAUAAAGACACUUUAUUUUCUU